rnacentral:lncRNA from 1 species
UAAUCAACUAAAAAGCACUCAACUUUUCAUAAUCUUGCCCUUGCAUUUCUAUCGACGCCCUUGCAUUUCUAUCGACUUUCCUCGUCACUUCCUCCCAAAUGGACCUCCAAUAAUUCUGCUAGAAAUAUAAUUUCUCAAACAAACUAUUAAAUAGUGUUCACUGACACGGGGUGUGUGGGAUGUGACUAGUUUGAAGCUUUUUUGGACCAAAAUUAUCCUUCUUCUUCUUUUCUCUCUCUUAUUAUUUUUUUCCAAUAACAUCUAUUAAUUAUUGAUUAAAAAUAAAUUGAUAAUUUUUUUUUAAAUUUUUUUACUUUCACCUUCUUACUUUAUAUAUAAAUUUUUUAAACACAUAAGAAUAUAUUUAUUAAAUUUCUUUUAACACCACCUCUUCUUCUGAAUUUUUUAAAAAUUUUAAAUACAUUUUUUAGUAGUUUGAUUUGUCAUAAAAAUACAUAAGAAAAAUAAUAACUUUUAACAUAACAAUACAAUAAUAAAUUCAACAUUAUAUAAGAACAUAAUUUCUAAUCAAUAUUUCCUCCAAACUAUCCUCCGAGGGCACUUGGUCCCCCACCUAUUAUGUCUGAUCACAAAAUUUAUUCGUACUAUAUAACUUGUUGAUUUAAUAUUUUGAUUUUGAUGAUAACAAAAUAUUGCGUUGGUAGCUAAUUUAUUUACUAAGUGUGCAGAUAAUGAGCGAUUAAGUUACAAAGCUCAAACUGACCAAAUAGACUGCAAACACUUUCUAUCAGAAAUUGUUGAUACCUAUUUCAUGAGUGUCGACACCUUUAGAUUUGGAGGCUAUAUUGAUAAAUCUGAUAAAAGUCUAAUCUAAAUUACAAAUCUCUCCGGAAUGAAAUUAAUGAAAAUCAUACACAUCCAUGAGAAGACAUCUCGAAGAGCGUAAAGUGAACAAUGCUCAAAUGGCCAAGAAAAUCAGAGAAAUACAUUCUGGCGAGAAGUGUUGACACUUGAAGAUAAUAGCAAAAGACUUGAAUCUGAAAAUGAAGUGUCGACACCUAAGAUCAGUAACAAAGUUUCAUGAAGACAGACAAGAAUUAUUGAUACCUGACAUCAGUAGCAAAACUUCAUGAAAACAGACAAGAAGUGUCGACACCUAGAACCAAACAAGUGAAUGUAGAAGAGUGUUUACGUAAUUAUACUCCGGAUAAAGCACAUUGUAUAAUUUUAUAUUUUUUUGAAUCUCUUUAAUCAGGUCCAUCCGUACCUGUGCCCAAUCGUUUUCAUCAUACCCUACUUAUGCAACUAUCGCCCUGAAUCCACAAUAACCAUUAGCUUAGAUGUCAAUAGUGUAACUAAUGAAAUAUUGAUAACCCUAGGUAAUUCUUGAAUAAAGGGAUUAAAGAUGGGUGGAGCUGGAGGUUAAUUUUUGACAAACUCUCGAGUUUGCAACCGAUAGAGUGACCGGUGUGUUGUAGUUGAGUUAGAUGCCCCUAGAUCCUAAAGUAUAUGACUCUAAAAUAGAAGGUAUGCGUCGUAUACUUUGCUCAUCUCUGCCUGCAGGUUGACAUUUGUAUUUCAUGUUAUAUGCCGAAGAUCAAACUGUACUAUGAGAUGGAAUUGCCAUAUCGAUAAUCCUAUUUAUCAUAUUAUCUUGCGUAAAUUGAUCAUUCCUUUUAACAGUUCAAUAAAUUGAUAAUAUAAUGAAACAAUAAUAGUAUGACGAAAUAAGAAAUAACAGAUGCUUGUUUGAUCAAUAGUAAAUUUAAGUGUAUAGUCACAACCUAUAUGGAAGAUGUUUUCUCCACUUGGAAUAUCACUCUCGACUGUCUAACUAUUUGAAAUUGAGUCAGCCAUAGUGCUCUAACUAUGGAUUUCGAAAAAAAAUAUGGAUCAAAUCUUGAUAUAAAUUAAAAGAGUGAUAGUAUGAAUAAAAUGAGAACUCUAAAAAAUAUUCUUCAUAUAUAUAUAUAUAUAUAUAUAUAUAAGUUGCCCCUAGUAUAGUUAGUCUUAUCUUGUUCCCCCUAUAGAUGUCAAUUGCCUCCUAAUUUUGUCAUAAAAAAAUAUUAUAAAUUUUGAUUCAUAUUAUAAAAAAAAAUUCUUUUAGAAAAAAUAAACAAAAGAUUAGAAACAUAUAAUAAAAAAAUAUUUUUCAAAAAAAACAGAUAAAGAAAAAAAAAAUUUAAUAAAAAAAUAUUAAAAAAAUUGAAAAAAAACAACAACAAAACUAAAAAAAUUUUUUUAAAAAGGGGGCGAUUGGGAGGGGAUUCGGGCGAGGGGGCGGGGAAGGGGUGCUGGGAGAAAAAAAAGGGGACGGGGUAAUUGGGUAAUUGGGGAAAGGAUUUGGGGGUGGGGCCCGGCGUUUUCGUGGGAGGAUCAGCUCUCUUAUUUUCUAAGGACCUCCAAUAAUUUUAGGGUAAAUUACAAUCACCUCCACUAAGGUUUUUCUUUAAUACAGAUGUUCCCUGAUGUUUGAAAAAUUAUACCGACUUUUCUUACUUUUUAAAACUUGUAACACAACCACUUGCAUUUGUCGCUC